rnacentral:rRNA from 1 species
CCUACGGGUGGCAGCAGUGAGGAAUAUUGGUCAAUGGGCGGAAGCCUGAACCAGCCAAGUCGCGUGAGGGAAUAAGGCCCUACGGGUCGUAAACCUCUUUUGCCGGGGAGCAAGGGCGGGGACGUGUCCCGGCCCGGAGAGUACCCGGAGAAAAAGCAUCGGCUAACUCCGUGCCAGCAGCCGCGGUAAUACGGAGGAUGCGAGCGUUAUCCGGAUUUAUUGGGUGUAAAGGGAGCGUAGGCGGGAAAGCAAGUUGAAUGUUUAAGGUACGGGCUCAACCUGUACAAGCGUUCAAAACUGUUUUUCUUGAGUGGAGUAGAGGUAAGCGGAAUUCCUAGUGUAGCGGUGAAAUGCGUAAAUAUUAGGAGGAACACCAGUGGCGAAGGCGGCUUACUGGGCUUUAACUGACGCUGAGGCUCGAAAGCGUGGGUAGCAAACAGGAUUAGAUACCCUAGUAGUC